ACGGCCCCCCAAUUGAGCUUGAGGCCGUCCGCCACCACCGCUGACGUCACUUGGACGUCGCAGCGAGCAGAGCGCUUCAACGUGUCUUGGGUGAGGACAAGAAGAGGAGGCUGCAGAGACAAAGAACACGAAAAUGUUCGACAGUUUCUAAGUCUGUACGAGCCCCGCGUGCAGCUGACGCAGCUGGAGGCGUACACGGAGUACGAGGUUUGCGUGCGCGCCUUCAACAGAGGCGGGAGCAGUGAGACGUGCGAGGCGCUGCUCACCCUGCCUAACAGCGCUCCUACCUUGCCAGUUACUGAACUGGAAUGCCUGUCUUACGGAUGUUUCGUUCACGUCGGU
rnacentral:lncRNA from 1 species